rnacentral:rRNA from 1 species
UGAGUAAUGUCUGGGAAACUGCCUGAUGGAGGGGGAUAACUACUGGAAACGGUAGCUAAUACCGCAUAACGUCGCAAGACCAAAAGAGGGGGACCUUCGGGCCUCUUGCCAUCCAGAUGUGCCCAGAUGGGAUUAGCUAGUAGGGUGGGGUAAUGGGCUCACCUAAGGGCCACAAUCCCUUACCUGGGUCUGAAAAGGAAUGACCCCCCCCCCCUGGAAACUAAAAACACGGUCCAAAACUCCUAAGGGGGGGGCACCAGUGGGGGAAAUUUUGCCAAAAUGGGGCGCAACCCUGAUGCACCCUUGCCCCGGGUGGUGAAAAAAAGGCCUCUUGGGGUUUAAAAACCUCUUUUCGGGGGGGAGGAAGGGGGUGAACUUAAUACGUUCAUCAAUUGACGUUACUCGCAAAAAAAGCACCGGCUAACUCCCUUGCCAGCACCCGCG